rnacentral:rRNA from 1 species
UUGAACUGAAGAGUUUGAUCCUGGCUCAGAUUGAACGCUGGCGGCAUGCCUUACACAUGCAAGUCGAACGGCAGCACGGGUGCUUGCACCUGGUGGCGAGUGGCGAACGGGUGAGUAAUACAUCGGAACAUGUCCUGUAGUGGGGGAUAGCCCGGCGAAAGCCGGAUUAAUACCGCAUACGAUCCACGGAUGAAAGCGGGGGACCUUCGGGCCUCGCGCUAUAGGGUUGGCCGAUGGCUGAUUAGCUAGUUGGUGGGGUAAAGGCCUACCAAGGCGACGAUCAGUAGCUGGUCUGAGAGGACGACCAGCCACACUGGGACUGAGACACGGCCCAGACUCCUACGGGAGGCAGCAGUGGGGAAUUUUGGACAAUGGGCGAAAGCCUGAUCCAGCAAUGCCGCGUGUGUGAAGAAGGCCUUCGGGUUGUAAAGCACUUUUGUCCGGAAAGAAAUCCUUGGCUCUAAUAC